GAUGAACGCUAGCGAUAGGCUUAACACAUGCAAGUCGAGGGACAGGCGGAUGGGUGAGUAACGCGUAUGCAACUUGCCUCUUAGUGGGGGAUAACCCGGAGAAAUCCGGACUCAUACUGCAUACUAAGAGAUAGGCAUGCGUUCCAUUUGUUAGUUGGUGAGGUAACGGCUCACCAAGGCAUCGAUGGAUAGGGGAGCGGAGAGGCAGCUACCCCACAUUGGUACUGAGACCCGGCCCAAACUCCUACGGGGGGCAGCGGUGAGGAAUAUUGGUCAAUGGAGGAUACUCUGAACCAGCCAAGUCGCGUGAAGGAUGACGGUCUAUGGAUUGUAAACUUCUUUAGUAGGCGAGUAAGUAGCCUAAGAAUAAGUAUCGGCUAACUCCGUGCCAGCAGCCGCGGUAAUUC
rnacentral:rRNA from 1 species